UUUUAUUUGAGAGUUUGAUCCUGGCUCAGGAUGAACGCUGGCGGCGUGCCUAACACAUGCAAGUUGAGCGAUUUACUUCGGUAAAGAGCGGCGGACGGGUGAGUAACGCGUGGGUAACCUACCCUGUACACACGGAUAACAUACCGAAAGGUAUGCUAAUACGGGAUAAUAUAUUUGAGAGGCAUCUCUUGAACAUCAAAGGUGAGCCAGUACAGGAUGGACCCGCGUCUGAUUAGCUAGUUGGUAAGGUAACGGCUUACCAAGGCGACGAUCAGUAGCCGACCUGAGAGGGUGAUCGGCCACAUUGGAACUGAGACACGGUCCAAACUCCUACGGGAGGCAGCAGUGGGGAAUAUUGCACAAUGGGCGAAAGCCUGAUGCAGCAACGCCGCGUGAGUG
rnacentral:rRNA from 1 species